rnacentral:rRNA from 1 species
GACAGAGGUGCCGAGCGUUAGGCGGAAUCACUGGGCUUAAAGCGUGUGUAGGCGGAUCUGUAAGUACCUUGUGAAAUCCCACGGCUCAACCGUGGAACUGCUUGGUAUACUGCGGGUCUUGAGCCACCUAGGGGCAAGUGGAACAAACGGUGGAGCGGUGAAAUGCGUAGAUAUCGGAAGGAACGCCGGUGGCGAAAGCGACGUGCUGGACCUCUUCUGACGCUGAGGCGCGAAAGCCAGGGGAGCGAACGGG